rnacentral:rRNA from 1 species
UACGUAGGGGGCAAGCGUUGUCCGGAAUCAUUGGGCGUAAAGCGCGUGUAGGCGGCUCGAUAAGUCUGCUGUGAAAGUCCAAGGCUCAACCUUGGGAUGCCGGUGGAUACUGUCGAGCUCGAGUCCGGAAGAGGAGUGUGGAAUUCCUGGUGUAGCGGUGAAAUGCGCAGAUAUCAGGAGGAACACCGGUGGCGAAGGCGGGUCUCUGGGCCUGUACUGACGCUGAGGAACGAAAGCGUGGGGAGCGAACAGG